AUUGAACGCUGGCGGAAUGCUUUACACAUGCAAGUCGAACGGUAGCGGGGGCAACCCCUCGAGAGUGGCGAACGGGUGAGUAAUAUAUCGGAACGUGCCCAGGCGUGGGGGAUAACGUAGCGAAAGUUACGCUAAUACCGCAUACGAUCUAAGGAUGAAAGCGGGGGAUCGCAAGACCUCGCGCGAUUGGAGCGGCCGAUAUCAGAUUAGGUAGUUGGUGGGGUAAAGGCUCACCAAGCCAACGAUCUGUAGCUGGUUGGAGAGGACGACCAGCCAAAAUGGAACUGGGACACGGUCCAGACUCCUACGGGGGGCGGAAGUGGGGAAUUUUGGACAAUGGACGCAAGUCUGAUCCAGCCAUUCCGCGUGCAGGAUGAGGCCCUCGGGUUGUAAACUGCUUUUGUACGGAACGAAAAGGUCUCUCUUAAUACGGGGGACUCAUGACGGUACCGUAAGAAUAAGCACCGGCUAACUACGUGCCAGCCGCCGCAGUAA
rnacentral:rRNA from 1 species